CUUACAAACUUCUAGAGAGCAAAAACAGCCAUCAAGGUCUCAAAUAAUGUACUUCCCAUACACCCUUUCUCUAGAAGCUACUGGAGCAAGUAUUCCAAAAGCAAAUCAAGACAGAGAAAAAUCUGGGAUACAGGAAACAAGAAAGCUAUCACAAGAAGGAGAGCUACAUGUGUGCCAGCACUUAAAUAUAAAGUACUCACAAGCUCUAGCGGACUGAGACGAGCACUGGAGAUAGGCCUGGAAUCAGAUGACUCAAAACUGGAUGCAUGGAGGCUAGCAGAGGAGAUGGAACAGAAAUAUUAUUACAUUGUGAGAAGCAGUUUCAAUAAUGUAAGAUCUACACAGUUAAUCUAUUAUUAUUAUAUUAAUGUUAAUAUGUCAUUAAAUAAAAUAUGGAAAUGUUCAGUGAUAUAAGUGAACUGAGUUAGAAGUG